rnacentral:rRNA from 1 species
UAGGGAAUCUUCCACAAUGGGCGAAAGCCUGAUGGAGCAAUGCCGCGUGAGUGAUGAAGGUUUUCGGAUCGUAAAGCUCUGUUGCCAGGGAAGAACGUCCGGGUGAGUAACUGCACCCGGAGUGACGGUACCUGAGAAGAAAGCCCCGGCUAACUACGUGCCAGCAGCCGCGGUAAUACGUAGGGGGCAAGCGUUGUCCGGAAUUAUUGGGCGUAAAGCGCGUGCAGGCGGCGGCUUAAGUCGGAUGUUUAAGAUCGGGGCUCAACCCCGAUUCGCAUCCGAAACUGGUCCGCUUGAGUGUAGGAGAGGAAAGUGGAAUUCCACGUGUAGCGGUGAAAUGCGUAGAGAUGUGGAGGAACACCAGUGGCGAAGGCGACUUUCUGGCCUAUAACUGACGCUGAGGCGCGAAAGCGUGGGGAGCAAACAGG